rnacentral:rRNA from 1 species
CCUACGGGAGGCAGCAGUAGGGAAUAUUGGGCAAUGGACGGAAGUCUGACCCAGCCAUGCCGCGUGGAGGAAGACGGCGUCAGCGUUGUAAACUCCUUUUAUCUGGGAAGCGGUACCAGAGGAAUAAGCACCGGCUAACUCCGUGCCAGCAGCCGCGGUAAUACGGAGGGUGCAAGCGUUGUCCGGAUUUAUUGGGUUUAAAGGGUGCGUAGGUGGUUUUGUAAGUCUGACCUGAAAGUGGGCCGCUUAACGGCACAGGGUGGUUGGAUACUGCAGAACUUGAAGAGGGUGGAGGCCGCCGGAACGGAUCGUGUAGCGGUGAAAUGCAUAGAGAUGAUCCAGAACCCCGAUUGCGUAGGCAGGCGGCUACCCCACUUGACACUGAGGCACGAGAGCAUGGGGAGCAAACAGGAUUAGAUACCCUGGUAGUC